UGUGAUAUAUUUUGUGUGAAAAACUGGAAAACAAAGUGCAUACCUGCAUAACCUCACUUAUCGCAGUUUUGCACAUUUUGAUGAUGGGAAUUGCGGUUCAAGUAAUUAUGAGUUAUAGAUGGAGCUCACUGUUUACUUCAAACUGAAGCCUUUUGGGUCCACUUUUUUCGUUGUUAUUUCCUGGUAGCGACUCUUGUUUCAAGCAGAAUGGGUGUACAGUUAAAAAUAAUCCCAUAAAAUUGUUAAUAUAACUCCGUUGCACUGGCAUGGGGUAUUUGAAAACUUACGUUUAACAAAUACGUCACAAAGUCUCAGCCAUCGUCGAAAAACAUAAUAAGGGCUUUAUAACAACAAGCGCUUUCUGAUUUUACUGUGGACGUGUGGAAGAAUAGUGUGAAAUAUUGCGAAAAACCAACUUUUACUCUUGUUUACAUUUUUGUACGUCUCUAUCUGGGAGUAGUCGUCUUUUAUAAAAAAUAUAGCCUACUAAUAAAGGAAAUUAAAGUGUU